GGCAAGAUUCAUCUUAUUUCUACUGAGCCUGUAGUAAUUAUCACCAAAAGUCUGGGUCUGCAGGGUUGUUCCACCCAAGCUCACAGCAUAAGAAGUGAGUGAGAGACCCAAGCAGGGCCUCAGUGUUUUCACAGAGCAUCAGUUUGGAGACCUGUGUCUGUUCAGAAAAGGUGCUGGUAUGGUGCCUUCAUUAAUAUCAAAAGGUUAUUUAAUAGGUGUAUUUUAACUGUGUUACUUUUGUUUUCACAGGCUCCAGGUUACGGAGAUGUUAGGCUCUCUUUAGAGGCCAUCCCAGAUACAGUGAACCUAGAAGAACCUUUCCGUAUUACCUGUAAAAUCACAAACUGCAGUGAAAGGACGAUGGAUCUGGUCCUGGAAAUGUGCAAUACCAAUUCUAUCCACUGGUGUGGGAUUUCUGGAAGACAGCUGGGAAAGCUGCAUCCAAGCUCCUCACUCUGCCUGGCCCUGACUCUCCUGUCUUCGGUACAGGGGCUCCAAAGUAUCUCUGGCUUAAGACUCACUGACACAUUCUUAAAGAGAACAUACGAAUAUGAUGACAUUGCACAAGUCUGCGUGGUCUCAUCAGCUGUGGAAGUGGAAGCCUAAAGAAAAUUUCUGAUGUUAAAUAUCUUGUUUAAUUACAGAACUGCUCUCUAUAUUUUGUCAGCUUUGUGAAAUUAUCAUUAGCAAAAAUAAGUAUAUGUUAUUUAAAUUUGUUUUCUGUAAAACAGUUAAAUAUUAAAUAUUUGUUGUAAAAACAAUAGUUUUAUCUUGU
rnacentral:lncRNA from 1 species